UCCCAGGACUGUUAGCUCAGUUGGUAGAGCAUGAGACUCUUAAUCUCAGGGUUGUGAGUUUGAGCCCCACGUUGGGGAA